UGAGUAACACGUAUCCAACCUGCCGUCUACUCUUGGACAGCCUUCUGAAAGGAAGAUUAAUACAAGAUGGCAUCAUGAGUUCACAUGUUCACAUGAUUAAAGGUAUUCCGGUAGACGAUGGGGAUGCGUUCCAUUAGAUAGUAGGCGGGGUAACGGCCCACCUAGUCUUCGAUGGAUAGGGGUUCUGAGAAGAAGGUCCCCCACAUUGGAACUGAGACACGGUCCAA
rnacentral:rRNA from 1 species